rnacentral:rRNA from 1 species
GAUGAACGCUGGCUACAGGCUUAACACAUGCAAGUCGAGGGGAAACGCCGGGGAAGCUUGCUUCCCCGGGCGUCGACCGGCGCACGGGUGAGUAACGCGUAUCCAACCUGCCUCUGACUGAGGGAUAACCCGUCGAAAGUCGGCCUAAUACCUCAUGGCAUCGUCUGCGGGCAUCCAACGACGAUUAAAAAUUUCAUCGGUCAGGGAUGGGGAUGCGUCUGAUUAGCUUGUUGGCGGGGUAACGGCCCACCAAGGCUACGAUCAGUAGGGGUUCUGAGAGGAAGGUCCCCCACAUUGGAACUGAGACACGGUCCAAACUCCUACGGGAGGCAGCAGUGAGGAAUAUUGGUCAAUGGGCGGGAGCCUGAACCAGCCAAGUAGCGUGCAGGAUGACGGCCCUAUGGGUUGUAAACUGCUUUUAUGCGGGGAUAAAGUGAGGGACGUGUCCUUCAUUGCAGGUACCGCAUGAAUAAGGACCGGCUAAUUCCGUG